rnacentral:rRNA from 1 species
UUAAGCAUAUUAAUAAGCGGAGGAAAAGAAACCAACAGGGAUAUUCUCAGUAACGGCGAGUGAAGAGAAUACAGCCCAGCGCUGAAUCGUGCUGCUUGAAAGAGUGAUACGACAUGUAGCGUGAAACUGGCGGCUGUUGAUGUUGUCGAUGUGUGUAAGUCUUCUUGAGCGGGGCUCAGUCCCAGAGAUGGUGCUAGGCCCGUAUCGCGCAUGACAAGUACAGCAACGCCCGCUUGUGGAGAGUCAGGUUGUUUGGGAACACAAUCUAAAGCCGGUGGUACACUCCAUCGAAGGCUAAAUAUGACCACGAGUCCGAUAGCGAACAAGUACCGUGAGGGAAAAUUGAAAAGCACUUUGAAGAGAGAGCGAAAUAGUGCGUGAAACCGCUUAGAGGCAAGCAGAUGGAUUCUCGAAGGUGUGCAUAGGAUUUAUUUCCUAGUUCUCACGCCACCACUGUUGUUGACGUGCACCAUGCGCUGACAUUUGGACGCUUGAGAUUGGGACUUGUGCCUGCUUGAGACGCUCGGUGUUGGACGUGUUGAGUUGUUGUGGCAUGCAAUAACAGAGCAGAGCAUUUGUCGUCGCUGUAAAGCGCCGACUGUGGCCGCUUGCUGAUGCAUUGCUGUUGUGGCGAAGCGCAAGCUUCGACAUGCGGCAUGUGUUGCAAAUCGGCUAUUAGUACCGGCAAGACGACUUUAAGACUCGGUGGCGAGUAGA